AUGUGGUAUCUGGAGACAAACCAUCUAUUUUUGAAAACAGGACAGGUCAAUCAUUCCUAGGCUCUGAACACAAAAGCAACAUGUCCAUGGAUAGUGGUGCUGGAGGAACGGACAGUGGCGAUGGCACAUUGUUGCAACUCAAGACAAUUUGCAGCACAUAAAACUGCACAUCUGCUGAUGAGUUUACGUUCUGUUGUAACAGAAGUGAAGGCCAAGAAGCAGAGCCCAAAAAAGUGCAAUCCUGUCAGUCAUCUAAGGCCAUUCCAUCAGAUACAUGCCCAAGACUGUACUACUGGAUCUGCCAGCACCUCUGACCACUCUUUAUGCAAGCCCCAGGCUUGAAAUGGAUUUGCCCGCACUGCUGGAGGAGGGUGCCGAGACCUUUGAGAAGCUGCAUCUCACACCAGAGCAGAUGGGGGUCUAAAAAAAUGAGGACACUGCCAGAGAGUCGUACCUGAGGGCGAUGCAGGACCUCCAAGCAGACCUCCAUGUUGCAGCAUCUGGACUUAUAAGUAACCCAGAAGUGCCAUGGAUCAGGAUCACCAGAUGGUUUGGUGAUGGUGUUAUAGAUUAAGUGUCCUUUCAGUGCAAAAGACCGCACCCUACAUGAAUGUGUAAAAGACUCAAGGUUCUGUCUGAGGAAGACUCAAGGUUCUGUCACUGAGGAAGGUGUAAUGAGCCUAAAGCUUAAUCACAGUUACAUGCAUCAAGUGCAAGCCCAAAUGUGUGUAGCAGAGGUAACAUACUGUGAUUGUCAAGAACUAUUUAUACAGCGCAUCCCGUUUGAUGAUACAAAAAAAACAAUGUCACAUGUCAAACAAUAGGUGUCAAAACUAAUCUCUUACUGUGUUUGCAACUUACUUUGUGACCCAUUUUACUGAGAUGACAAAUCUGCCAAAUGUCUCUUAUACAUGUACUGUAUGUUAAAGAUGAUGUUUAAGUAAAAAUGAAGCAUUAUCUUUGUCUGUAGUACAUAUUCAGAAAAUGAAAAAAUAAACAAAAUUCAGAAAUAAAUUCAGAGUACUCAGAGCCUAUGUUUUUUAUCCUUAUGGUUAUGUAUUUGUGUACAAAUUCAUCUGACAACACUGAAACAUACAUAUUAAAAUAACAUAGAUGGCACAGAAAACAACUGUAUAUAUAAUAAUUGGUUCUGCGUUGUAGUUCAGAGUAGUAUUUAAACAAAUCAUAGGAAUUAAACAUGAAAAAGUCAUAAAUAUGACUAAUAAAUUAUUAAUGUAAGAUGGAACAUUCAUCCAUGUUACAUUGUGGUAAACAACUACUGUCUGUCUAUUCUGUGGGGACAAUGGAUAGCCAAAUAUUACAAAGAGCACAACAAACUGUCACCAUCUUGUCAAGUGAGGUAGGUUGUCCUUUAGUGGCCCUUUAGAAGAGAGACAUUGGUGUGGUGGUCUUAAGGGUGGUGUAUUUGUUUCUGACCGGGCCAAUGACUUUCCACAUGGAUCUGGUUUCAAAAUGUAAUCUGGUAUGGUUUAAUCAUUUAAAAAUUACAUGGUAAUAUUAACUUUUGGAAAUUUCCAAUGUGGUUAACCAUUAAACCGAUAAUUGUUCCAUCUCUAAUAGAGACCCACAGAGACCAUUAUAAUUUCCAUCACAAUUAAUAAAAUUCUCAUUGAAUUUCUAUAACGUCUCUAUGUUUUAUUUUAGCACGGAUGUCUGAAUCUCAUUAGAUUUAGCUAAAUAUUCAAUUUUUGUAUUUCAAUAAGUCUUCAUUAUUUAAUAUAUGUUUGAAUAAAUAGUACAGGGGCCUAUUGAGCAAUUAUCACUGCCUCAAAUUGAAGUAGAAAUGUAUAUUUAUUAAUAAAAACGUGAUAUAAAAACGAUUCAAAUUUUGUUAAUCUCAAAAUUAAUUACAAAAAAAUGUAUUUUCGUUUCAGAAUAAAAUUUUAUCAUCAGUUAAAAAGCUUAUAUUAAUACAAUAAUUACCUUUUAUUAAAAACGUGUAUGAGACAUGGUAGUUUAAGUGUACACAUAUUCUACUGUGUGUGUUUACGUGUGUAUGCGCACGUUCAGGUUUUUAUACAUUGUGGUGUGUGUGUUCAGCUUUUUAUACAUCGUGGGGUCCUCAUAGUAAAAGUCUGAUCCACAUUGUUGUCACAUUUUCAUGUUACUUUAGGGUUGGGCGUUAUAAAGUGAGGCGCGUCUGGCACGAGCCGUGCAGAGAAACAGCUUCUUUACACAGCGCGAGCUUCACAGUUGUGAGGCUAGAUUGUAUUCUUAAUCUGAUGUUAUAUUCUAUAAAAGAGUUAUAAAGUGAGGCGCGUCUUCUUUAUGCAAAGCAGCAGCGCAGACAUGCGUCUUCUUCGUACAGAUAAAGUCAGGCGGGUCUGCGCGUCCUCUUUAUACAGCGCAAGCUCCACAGUUAUUCUGAUGUUAUAUUCAAUAAAAGAGUUAUAAAGUGAGACACGUCUUCUUUAUACAAAGCGAGCUGCGCAGACACGUGUCUUCUUGCAGUUAUGAAGUCAUGCGGGUCUGUGCAUCAUCUUUAUACAGCGCGAGCUCCACAGUUAUUCUGAUGUUAUAUUCAAUAAAGAGUUAUAAAGUGAGGCGCGUCUUCUUUAUGCAAAGCAGCAGCGCAGACAUGCGUCUUCUUCAUACAGUUAUAAAGUCAGCGGAGCUGCGCAAACUGCGCGUCCUCUUCAUGCAGCGCGAGCUCCAUAGUUAUUCUGAUGUUUCAUUCAAUAAAAGAGUUUAAAAGUGAGGUGCGUCUUUAUAUAACGCGAGCUGCGCAGACACACGUCUUCUUUAUACACUGGGCUGCGCCGACACGGGUCUUCUUUUUACAGUUAUAAAGUCAGGCUAGUCUUAUCUGUACAGUAGAGGUUUUAUGCAGUUAGCUUUAUUUGUAUGUGUUUACAACGUGACUUACAGCCUGCAGCACAGAGCAGUGAGCGUCACAUGAAUAAAGUGAAAUAUCUGUUGGAAUCAUGAUGCUGGCUCAACAUCAUCAUGUCUAUAAGCCAUAUGUUCUUUGUUUUAUGAACUUUAAUUUGUAUUUUACUUUCUGAUUUCCUAUUGUAUUACAUUGCUUCAUCAAUAUUCAUCAUGGUAUUUGCAUACUGAGCAUACACUUACAUUACAAAUCUACUAGUGCUUAUUAAGCUCGGGAUAUCUUUGAUCUAAAAAGUUAUCUAAUGAAUAAGUACUAGUAUCUAAUGAUUAAGUACAAGUAUCUAAUAAAUAAGUACUAGUAUCUAAUAAAUAAGCACUAGUAUCUAAUAUUUAGGUACUAGUAUCUAAUGAAUAAGUACUAGUAU